rnacentral:rRNA from 1 species
GAUGAACGCUGGCGGCGUGCCUAAUACAUGCAAGUCGAGCGAACAGACGAGGAGCUUGCUCCUCUGACGUUAGCGGCGGACGGGUGAGUAACACGUGGAUAACCUACCUAUAAGACUGGGAUAACUUCGGGAAACCGGAGCUAAUACCGGAUAAUAUAUUGAACCGCAUGGUUCAAUAGUGAAAGACGGUUUUGCUGUCACUUAUAGAUGGAUCCGCGCCGCAUUAGCUAGUUGGUAAGGUAACGGCUUACCAAGGCAACGAUGCGUAGCCGACCUGAGAGGAUGAUCGGCCACACUAGAACAGAGACACGGUCCAGACUCCGACGGGAGGCAGCAGUAGGGAAUCUUCCGCAAUGGGCGAAAGCCUGACGGAGCAACGCCGCGUGAGUGAUGAAGGUCUUCGGAUCGUAAAACUCUGUUAUUAGGGAAGAACAAAUGUGUAAGUAACGAUGCACGUCUUGACGGUACCUAAUCAGAAAGCCACGGCUAACUACGUG